rnacentral:tRNA from 1 species
GGGGUUGUGGCUCAGUGGAAGAGUGCUCUCUAGCACACGUGAGGCACUGGGUUCAAUCCUCAGCACCACA